rnacentral:rRNA from 1 species
GAUGAACGCUGGCGGCGUGCCUAAUAAAUGCAAGUCGAGCGAAGCGGGGACGGGUGAGUAACACGUGGAAAACAUCGUAUAAGACUGGGAUAACUUCGGGAAACAGUAGAUAAACCGGAUAAUUAUAGAUGGAUCCGCGCUGCAUUAGCUAGUUGGUAAGGUCACGGCUUACCAAGGGAACGAUGCAUAGCCGACCUGAGAUGGUGAUCGGCAACACGGGAACUGAGAAACGGUCCAGACUCCUACGGGAGGCAGCAGGAGGGAAUCUUCCGCAAGGGGCGAAAGCCUGACGGAGCAACUCCGCGUGAGUGAUGAAGGUCUUCGGAUCGUAAAACUCUGUUAUUAGGGAAGCGGUACCUAAUCAGAAAGCCACGGAUAACUACGUGCCAGCAGCCGCGGUAAUAC